CGGGACGGGUGCGUAAUGUCUGGGGAAACUGCCUGAUGGAGGGGGAUAACUACUGGAAACGGUAGCUAAUACCGCAUAACGUCGCAAGACCAAAGUAAGGGGGGACCUUCGGGCCUCUUGCCAUCGGAUGUGCCCCAGAUGGGAUUAGCUAGUAGGUGGGGUAACGGCUCACCUAGGCGACGAUCCCUAGCUGGUCUGAGAGGAUGACCAGCCACACUGGAACUGAGACACGGUCCAG
rnacentral:rRNA from 1 species